GGCUUCAUAGGCAUUGCAGGUUGGAGGGUAGAGCCAUUUAGCUUUGACUGUGGUAGUUAGCUGUGCAGGCUUAGGCAAACAUGCUAAAGUGCCUUAGGGAGAGAACAUGGUAUAGACACCCGUGACUGCUAUUAGUUCUGGUUCUUGUCCCCACAGCUGUGGCCUUCACCUCCCCUGAACCACCUUAUCCUGGUUCUGUGACUCACUAGCACUACAGGUAGCAGGAAGAAGGCAGGGGAAUGCCCAGAGGGAACAACUCUUCAUCCACCCUGAUGGACUGGGAAACUGGUCCUAGAUUCAUGCUCCCCCACACCUAUCUCCUCCUCUCCCUGCUCAAUGAUCUCUGCCAGGAGGAAGUGGUCACACCUCUCUCCACAGCAUUUCAACUUCACAGUUUUUCUGUCAGUGUUUUGACAAAAACAUUAACCUAGCAAAGAGGACCUUCUGGUUCUGCUGGGACAUUUUCUGCAGGUUCAGGAGUUGUUUGGAGAAAUAGUUCAGGAGGGAAGAAAACACUUCGUGUUUAACAGAGUAUAGAGUAAUAGUUAGGGUAGGAGCGUUGUUGUCAAGUUUGAAUCUUGGCCAUGCUAAGGCAACUUAUUUCACCCCCAAGUCUCUGAUUUUCAUUUAUAAACGUAUUGUCAGGAUUUGUUGUUAGUAUAUGUUAUGUUUUGAGUGCCUGCAUUAGUUGGUUCCUUAGAAGACAAUUACGGCCAUCGUUACUAAUCUUUAGAGGAUUUAAAACAUAUCAAACUGGAGGAUGGGGCGGGGGGAGAGUGAACAGCUGUGCUGGAAAACAGAGAAACUGAAAACAGAAAGUCUCAUUAAAAAGCUUUUGCCUC
rnacentral:lncRNA from 1 species